AUACGGAGGAUCCGAGCGUUAUCCGGAUUUAUUGGGUUUAAAGGGAGCGUAGGUGGUUUGAUAAGUCAGCGGUGAAAGUUUGCAGCUUAACUGUAAAAAUGCCGUUGAACCUGCCGGACUUGAGUGUAAAUGAGGUAGGCGGAAUGCGUGGUGUAGCGGUGAAAUGCAUAGAUAUCACGCAGAACUCCGAUUGCGAAGGCAGCUUACUAAGCUACAACUGACACUGAAGCACGAAAGCGUGGGGAUCAAACAGGAUUAGAUACCCUGGUAGUCCACGCAGUAAACGAUGAUUACUAGCUGUUUGCGAUACACAGUAAGCGGCACAGCGAAAGCGUUAAGUAAUCCACCUGGGGAGUACGCCGGCAACGGUGAAACUCAAAGGAAUUGGCGGGG
rnacentral:rRNA from 1 species